rnacentral:rRNA from 1 species
AGUGAACGCUGGCGGUAGGCCUAACACAUGCAAGUCGAACGGUAGCACAGUAAGAGCUUGCUCUUACGGGUGGCGAGUGGCGGACGGGUGAGGAAUACAUCGGAAUCUACUUUUUCGUGGGGGAUAACGUAGGGAAACUUACGCUAAUACCGCAUACGACCUACGGGUGAAAGCAGGGGAUCUUCGGACCUUGCGCGAUUGAAUGAGCCGAUGUCGGAUUAGCUAGUUGGCGGGGGUAAAGGCCCACCAAGGCGACGAUCCGUAGCUGGUCUGAGAGGAUGAUCAGCCACACUGGAACUGAGACACGGUCCAGACUCCUACGGGAGGCAGCAGUGGGGAAUAUUGGACAAUGGGCGCAAGCCUGAUCCAGCCAUACCGCGUGGGUGAAGAAGGCCUUCGGGUUGUAAAGCCCUUUUGUUGGGAAAGAAAAGCAGCAGGUUAAUACCCCGCUGUUCUGACGGUACCCAAAGAAUAAGCACCGGCUAACUUCGUG